rnacentral:rRNA from 1 species
GACGAACGCUGGCGGCGUGCCUAAUACAUGCAAGUAGAACGCUGAAGGAGGAGCUUGCUCUUCUGGAUGAGUUGCGAACGGGUGAGUAACGCGUAGGUAACCUGCCUGGUAGCGGGGGAUAACUAUUGGAAACGAUAGCUAAUACCGCAUAACAGUAGAUGUUGCAUGACAUUUGCUUAAAAGGUGCAAUUGCACCACUACCAGAUGGACCUGCGUUGUAUUAGCUAGUUGGUGGGGUAACGGCUCACCAAGGCGACGAUACAUAGCCGACCUGAGAGGGUGAUCGGCCACACUGGGACUGAGACACGGCCCAGACUCCUACGGGAGGCAGCAGUAGGGAAUCUUCGGCAAUGGACGGAAGUCUGACCGAGCAACGCCGCGUGAGUGAAGAAGGUUUUCGGAUCGUAAAGCUCUGUUGUAAGAGAAGAACGAGUGUGAGAGUGGAAAGUGCACACUGUGACGGUAUCUUACCAGAAAGGGACGGCUAACUACGU